rnacentral:SRP_RNA from 2 species
GCUGGGCGUGGUGGUGCACGCCUGUGGUCCCAGCUACUCGGGAGGCUGAGGCGGGAGAAUCACUUCAGCCCAGGAGGCUGAGGUUGCAGUGAGCCGAGAUUGCACCACUGUACUCCAGCCUGGGCAACUGAGUGAGACUCCGUCUCAA